rnacentral:rRNA from 1 species
AUUGCACGCUGGCGGCAGGCUUAACACAUGCAAGUCGAGCGAGCGGCGGACGGGUGAGUAAUGUCUGGGAAACUGCCUGAUGGAGGGGGAUCACUACUGGAAACGAUAGCUACUACCGCAUACCCUGAGAUGUGCCCAGAUGGGAUUAGCUAGUAGGUGGGGUAAUGGCUCACCUAGGCGACGAUCCCUAGCUGGUCUGAGAGGAUGACCAGCCACACUGGAACUGGGUCACGGUCCAGACGCCUACUGUAGGCAGCAUUGGGGAAUAUUGCACAAUGGGCGCAAGCCUGAGGCAGCCAUGCCGCGUGUGUGAAGAAGGCCUUCGGGUUGUAAAGCACUUUCAGCGAGGAGGCGUUACUCGCAGAAGAAGCACCGGCUAACUCCGUGCCAGCAGCCGCGGUAAUUC